AUGGAAGCUGUAGUUGGACUGUUGUUGAUGAUGUGCGGAGUGUCUCAUGGUGUGGAAACUUACUGUGAUGGCAGACAGGAUGGAGCUCAGUGUUAUGGAGCUUUGGGAGGAACUGUGAACAUCCAGCUGAUGGACAGCACCUCAGAAAUACCUCGAUACCAAUUGUCAAAGAAUUCAUUAAAAAUACUAGAUGUGAAAAAGAAAAAUGUUAUUACUAAAAUCAAAGAACAGAGAUGUCUAAUUUUUCCAGGUAAUGGAACAUUUAGGCUUAGUAAUCUGAAAAGGAAUGACAGUGGUAGUUAUACCCUUCAAACCUUUAAUUCAGAUGGAAGAACAUCAGGCGAGUGGACUUUACAGUUGUUUAUUCAAGCUCCUGUGUCCUCUGUCCUGCUGGUCUCUGAGUGUCUGUCCCAGGGAGAGAGGAGGGUGUCCUGCUCCUCUGAGGGAGGGGACAGUCCUCAGUACAGCUGGACUCUGGAUGGACGCACACUGACAGAUGCUGAGCUCCUUUCUGUAAACAAUGAAACUAACAUCAUCACUCUGAAACAGCACGUCUCAGGAUGUCUGGUCUGCUCAGUCAGGAACAACGUCAGUAAUGUCUCCAAAGAACAGAAGAUAUCUACCUGUGGAGCAGGUCUUUUGCCACUGGUUUUUUUGCCAGUGAUCGGUGGUGUCAUCUCAGCGGUGGUCAUUUUCUUAUUUGUCGGUGUAGCGGUCAUCUGUACUCAGAGAAGAAAACCAAACAAUAAGUCCACAAAACACAAAGUAGUACAAAAUGACUAUGAAGAAAUGAUGUCAUUGUCAUGUAGCAGCAGAGGAAGCAAGUGGAGAAAAGAGGGCCGGUGAAGUAACCAAGUAAAGGUUUCGCCUUUUUCCUAUCAGAGAAAUACACAUCAUCAAAUCUCGUGAAUAUUGUCUUCUUUUGUUGUUGUUGCUUUCACUGCACUUUUUUAUUAUAACGGGGGAAAAUUCCCCCAGUCUUAGAUUGUCUCUAGGUUUAAUUAAAAGCACUGUGUUACACAAAUACUGUGAAUGUUUUCUGUACUUGUCUUCUCUUGAAGCUGUGAUACAAUAAAGGUUUUUGAGUCAUUGUAUUUCAUGCUAUUUGUUUUUUUUAUUGCGCAAAAGUUUUACAGUGUAAAAAAGCAACGUCACCUCAUUUAUCUAAAUAAAAUUCAGAUCAUAUUUCUUUGUAUAGCACUAAAUCAUAAAAAAUCAAAAAACAUGCAAUAAUAUUAUUGAUGUGAGCAAUGUCAAAUGUUGAUUAUCAUGUCAGCUUAUUUGUAUUUACAGUAAGAUAGAAACUACUUUAAUCAGUCAAAGUCUAAAUCGCACAUGCACAGUGUUGGAUGACAUUUUUUUCAUCUUACUAGAGCAAAAAAAAGGAAGUUGGUGUGAGACAUUUAAGCUAGUUAUAGAAAAGGAACAUCACAAAGAAAAAGCAAGAGGUUUAGACAAGUGUGAAAACAACAACAACAUGAAUAUAUAUAAUAUACAUAUUUCAUCACCUUCUUACGUACACUUCUGCUAAUGAGAAGAUAGGACUCUACUUCCUUUCAGUGAUGACAAAGCAAAAUCAAAUCAGCAAUUUCAUAAUCAAAAUGUGACUUUUUUUUGUUUUUUUUAAGAAAACACGAGUUAAGACAGUCAUGGGUUUAGAAGUGCUGCUUAUAGAUUUCAAUAAGAAGAGAUCAGAGUCUAGAUGCUGGUGUUGGAGAUGAAGAUGGAGGCUUGGAUGGAGCCUGAGUGACGAUCAAGAGGCGGAGAUGGGGAGGAGGUUGGUUGCAUGAAGGCAUCUGCGAGGGAUGAGAAGUGAAAUUUAAAGUACAUGAGGUGAAGCCUGGCAAAAACAUGACUGGAUUAGACCAGUGAUGUCCCAAUCAACUUGACAGAGGGAAAAGGGGAAGUGAGUAAAGCUAAAGAUUGGACACCAACACCUGGGAAUCAGACAGAUGUAUGACUACAGAUGUUCCUUAUUGAACUUGUGCAUAAGCUUUGUUCUGUUACCAACCUUUAUAAAAGAAACUCAACUAUUUUGAAGCUGUACUAAUUAUAUUUUUGUUCUGUAAAUUUAUUUUUUGAUAUGAAAUUAUGAAGAGGUCAUCAUGCUGACUGACCUGUUUUGUGUGGCAGAAGUUGAAAAAUUAUUGUUUUUACUUUGUGUUUAAAGAUGAAUAAUAUAAACCACAAUUAAAUUGAUGUUUAUUUUGUGAUUGAACUUAUUUCUGUAACUUAUCAUUUCUUUUUAAUACAUGAACAUACCUCUCAGAGACUUAAGCUGUCAGCGUCAAAAUUUCUUUCAAAAUAAAAGUUAAAUGUUUUGUUCUGUUCUUCCCAGUCCUUCAAGCACUAAUUCAACUUUCUUGAAAGGUAAAAAGCAGAAAAACAACUGAUGUCACCUCCCCCUUUUCUCUCAGUAAAUGAAAAAAAAAAAAAAGCAGAACUUCAGUAAAGUAAAGUUGAUUGGAUCAGCAGUGAGCAGAAAUGGCAUCUUGGGUUGGACUGUUGCUGAUGAUGUGUGGAGUUUCUCAUGGUGAGUUGUUCAACUUUUCUCAUGUAGUCCUGCAUUAAUACUUCAUUUUAAAAUCAAUAGCAUGUUUUGCACCCAUGACAUCCAGUACAAUCAGUGAAAUAAGUCUGAUAUUAUUCUUAUGGAUGAAGCAUUUGUAACAGGG
rnacentral:lncRNA from 1 species